UUCGUAGAUAAAGUCGUCAAACCCAUCGGCGAAAAGGUAGAAUUAAAUAAAAUCACCGAAAACGUUAUCAAAACUACUAAGGAUAUGGAAGCUACCAUGAACCGGGCCAUCGACGGAUUUAAGAAACAAUGAUUGUUUCAAAAUGACGAGUGACUAAUCCAAACAACAAUUUUUAUAUAUUUUUUUAAUUAAAUUAUUUUCUUUAUAAAAUUUA